GCUCGUAGUUGGAUUUCUAGUCGACAUGCGUGGUCCGCUUCGCUUUAUGCGUCGUGAGUUUAUCGCAGCGUGUCGUCUAUCCUAUUCGUUUGCCUUUUCCUCUUCGGGGGGGGAGGUCGACGGGUUCGUUUACUUUGAAAAAAUUAGAGUGUUUAAAGCAGGCGUUUUCGCCUUGAAUACAUUAGCAUGGAAUAAUAACAUAGGACUUCGGUCUUUCUAUUUUGUUGGUUUCCGGAACUGAAGUAAUGAUUGACAGGGAUAGUUGGGGGUGCUAGUAUUUAGCGGCCAGAGGUGAAAUUCUCGGAUUCGCUAAAGACUAACUUAUGCGAAAGCAUUCACCAAGGAUGUCUUCUUUAAUCAAGAACGAAAGUUGGGGGAUCGAAGACGAUCAGAUACCGUCGUAGUCUCAACCAUAAACUAUACCGACUAAGGAUGAGUGACCGUUGCAUUUUCGACUUCAUUCGCACUUUAGGAGAAAUCAAAGUCUUUGGGUUCCGGGGGGAGUAUGGUCGCAAGGCUGAAACUUAAAGGAAUUGACGGAAGGGCACCACCAGGAGUGGAGCCUGCGGCUUAAUUUGACUCAACACGGGAAAACUUACCAGGUCCGGACAUAGUGAGGA
rnacentral:rRNA from 1 species